UGCGUAGGUGGCUUGUUAAGUUUCAAAGUAAAGGUUAAAUUCAAAGUUUAAAGGCUUUUUAAUACUAACAGGCUAGAGUUUACUAGAAGAUAGCUGAACAUUAAGUGUAAAGGUGAAAUUUUUCGAUAUUUAAAGGACAUGCAAUAGGCGAAGGCUGCUAUCUAUUUUAAUACUGACACUGAGGCACAAAAGCAUAGGGAUCAAACA
rnacentral:rRNA from 1 species